rnacentral:rRNA from 1 species
AUAGCGUAUAUUAAAGUUGUUGCAGUUAAAAAGCUCGUAGUUGAACUUCAGACCUGGCUGGGCGGUCCGCCUAACGGCGUGUACUGUCUGGCUGGGCCUUACCUCUUGGUGAGCCGGCGUGCCCUUUAUUGGUGUGCGUCGGGGAACCAGGACUUUUACCUUGAGAAAAUUAGAGUGUUCAAAGCAGGCCUGUGCCCGAAUACAUUAGCAUGGAAUAAUAAAAUAGGACGUGCGGUUCUAUUUUGUUGGUUUCUAGAGUCGCCGUAAUGAUUAAUAGGGAUAGUUGGGGGCAUUAGUAUUCAAUUGUCAGAGGUGAAAUUCUUGGAUUUAUUGAAGACUAACUACUG